AGAAACUACUUUCACUAAGAAAACCGAAAUAUAGCCAAUUUUUUUGUUCUUUGCUUUUCUUCCUGUAAGUCUACCUUCACUUGUUUCUUAGAUUUAAGUUACAGUGCUACAUAUCAUUUUGUAAUUAAUGGAUUUACAGUGAGGGCUGUGACUACAUUAAAGGAAAAGUCCACAGACUGUGAACAGGUAUGAGAAGACUAUGUAUUUGCAAGUAAUUUAAGUAAUGCUAUGAUGUCAUGUCAAAGGUCAUAAUUCUUAGAACACAGGAAAUGAUUUCACCUUGUGUACUUAGGUACGAAUUUCUUGCGUUUUACAGAUUGGGAUGCUGAGUAGUUUUAAAGAUAGACUAGAUAUUACGAAAAAUUUCUUUACUGUAAGGCUGGGCAAAUACUGGAACAGGCUUCCUAGUGAGGUGGUUGGUGCACCAGGCCUGUCAAUGUUCAAGAAGCAUUUGGAUAAUGCCCUCGAUAACAUGUUUUAACUUUCGGUUAGCCCUGAAGCGGUCAGGCAGUUGAACUUGCUCUUUGUAGGUCCCUUCCCACUGGAUUAUUCUAGUCUAUUCAGAGAGCUAAAGAUGAUUGAUACGUAGUAAUUGUGGUUACACAAUGAAAAGUAAUCUUGCAUGCCCCUACUCUCCCUGUUGGUUGACCUGGCACGUCUUCAUCAAACAGCAUGAAAGAAUACAGAAGAUCUAUGAAUUCGACUCACUGAACAACUCUGAUAAAACAGCAAGGCUUUCAACCUGUGAUCUCGACAUACACCUACCAGCAGAUGACAACUUGCAAGCAUCAUAAAAGCAUCUCAGAAAGAAGAGGACUGUAUGCUGCAUGGGGAAGUAAACAGAAAACUGCCUUUGUGAUGAAUCUUGCCCACAAAGGGGUUUACUGGACGACCAGUGUGGCGUAAAGAAAUAAUCGUGCUGGCCAAAGCUAACUAAAGAAUUGAACAAAGAAAACCGACCACAAGCCAUACUCCACCUGCUGGAGACAAGCAAUUCAAGUCUGCAAACCACUAAGCCCCUUACAGUGCUGGAUGGUUAAUAAAGCUUUUCUUCCAUCCAUGUCCAGCGACCAGAGGGAGCUAUUCUCAAGUGCCUAGUCUACCAUAGCAGAGCACUUUGGUGAGCUAGCAAGCUCUAGUUACAAAGAUAACGCUUACAUGACGGCUUUAAUAAAAACAAAAGUGUAUUUAAAGCUCACAGUUUGCUUUUUUCUUCUCAUAUUGUGAAAACAGCAGUGAUUACUCUCAAGUGUGUGGAACACACUAAAAAGAAGUGUGAUAUUGCACACAAGCCUGUACUGGCUCCUAUGAUGGCCAUACCACUGAGCUGGAAUCAAAAGAAUUCUGGUAUUUUGCUGAUUACUGCCAAGACAUUUUCAAAAAGGUCUUUCUAUGAAAUUUUUGGUACUAUGUCAAUUCCCCUUAUUUCACUAUUAUUAUCUGGUCAAAGAUAACCGUAUUUGCUGCAAAGUAACUGCAUUUGAAAUAUCCUAAGUGGUACUAUACGCAUCUUCACUAACAUAAUGUAGUAUUUAUGACUACAGAUUAUACACUAGAAUGUGGUUGCAAAAAGUUGGAAUUAUGCCAUGGUUUCAUUCUCUCACAAUUACUGACAAGGUCCCUUCCUUAUGGUUUAAUUGUUGAGGAUCACAUUUAGAACUUUAAAACAUGUAACUGCUGGCUUAAGAGUAACUUCAUUUUUGUCUGCUCAUCCUAGCAAGUUAACCAUGUAAAAGAAAAAUGUUCUGAAGAUGUCUGAAAACCUCUGCAAGUUCAUUUAGGCUCUUCCACCACUGAAAACAAACAAACAAACAAGCCACUCCGACUAUAGCAUGACUAGCACGUGCUAUCUUCAUUUAAGAGCUUUAAAGUAUAGAUUGCAAUGAUCCAUUAGCAAUUACUUCUGAUCCUUGACAAAAAAAAAAAGGUACUUACAAACAACCAAGAAUACGCUAUGAAUUCAGAGAUGGAAAUACAAUAAAAGUAGUUGAAAUUUAAACUGAAAAAUACUUCAAAUAAUUAAAACCAAAAUUGUUAUUUUUCUCCUACUAUUUCAUUCAAACAUAAUAAUUACUGGUUCAUUCUCCUAAUGUCCUAACUGAUGAGUGGAGGGGCAGGCGCCAAUCUGUUCUCUUUAGUGACCAGUGAUAGGACCCGAGGGAAUGGUGUCAGGCUGCGACAGGGGAGGUUCAGGCUGGAUAUCAGGAAGAGGUUCUUCACUGAGAGGG